rnacentral:rRNA from 2 species
CCUACGGGAGGCAGCAGUGGGGAAUUUUGGACAAUGGGCGCAAGCCUGAUCCAGCCAUGCCGCGUGAGUGAAGAAGGCCUUCGGGUUGUAAAGCUCUUUCAGCCGGGAAGAAAAGGUUGCGAUUAAUAAUCGCAAUUUAUGACGGUACCGGA